rnacentral:rRNA from 1 species
GAUGAACGCUGGCGGCGUGCCUAAUACAUGCAAGUCGAGCGAACGGACGAGAAGCUUGCUUCUCUGAUGUUAGCGGCGGACGGGUGAGUAACACGUGGAUAACCUACCUAUAAGACUGGGAUAACUUCGGGGAACCGGAGCUAAUACCGGAUAAUAUUUUGAACCGCAUGGUUCAAAAGUGAAAGACGGUCUUGCUGUCACUUAUAGAUGGAUCCGCGCUGCAUUAGCUAGUUGGUAAGGUAACGGCUUACCAAGGCAACGAUGCAUAGCCGACCUGAGAGGGUGAUCGGCCACACUGGAACUGAGACACGGUCCAGACUCCUACGGGAGGCAGCAGUAGGGAAUCUUCCGCAAUGGGCGAAAGCCUGACGGAGCAACGCCGCGUGAGUGAUGAAGGUCUUCGGAUCGUAAAACUCUGUUAUUAGGGAAGAACAUAUGUGUAAGUAACUGUGCACAUCUUGACGGUACCUAAUCAGAAAGCUACGGCUAACUACGUG